CUGGCUUCAGAGCUUUUGGUGAGUCAUCUGGCAACGGCAGUUUCAAUUUACCUCUAGACUGUGGCUCCAUUUCAGCAGUUUUAUCCCAACUGAAGCGAGUGAAUGAUUGGUUAGACCACGAAGUUUCAAGCAGAGAUGAGCCACGCGUUGCAAAGAUUGAACAGUUGAAGAGAAAAAUUUAUGGUUUUGUUAUACAGCAUGUGGGAACUACUUAUGACAAUGCUGCGUCUGCUGCUUCAUCUUGAUUACCUGUUACUUAUCCGUUGAAAGUUCACUACCUCUUUGAAUUUGCAAAUGAUCCUCAUCACCACUUUAAUACUUUGCUCGACUAAUUGGUAAAUUGUUAUAACUGUGUCUUCCAAUUUAGUUUUGUGGCCGUGAUAAGAAGUUUCAAGCUCUUGUAACUUUACUCUUCUUCCUGGUUUCAGUGUUAUUAGAUAUUCAUAAUGUAAUAAUUGUUUUCAGAAAACAGAAAUCACUUGAAAUGUUUUGUGAUUAUUCAAGAUUUGUUAUUUGAUGAAAAAGUAGCGUCUCUUCUAAUUUGGUCUAAGGAUUCAUGUCUGUGCAUCUUGUCCCAAGCUCCAAAGGCUUUCAAUCAAAAGACCGCAAGCAGGGCAGCUAUAAAAGAGCCUGUCCAAUAUGGUGGUUUUGCUAUUUAACAACAGGCCCAUAAUGAAAAGAGGUUAAAAAAGAGAAAACAACAAAAACAACAUGGGGAAAAAAAAACUCAAGUUGAUGUCAAAUAUGACAUUAUUAAUUUAAGAGGCCAGUUAUAUUAGAACUGUGGAGCAAUGAUAAUAGCCGUAUGAUUAUAAAAAUAAAUAUUAAAUUUGCAUUUAUUGUUAUGAUCUGACGGUUAUCUUUAGUGCUCCAUAAUAAAGUAAUUCAAUUGUAACCAUUGCCUUAAUUUAAUUAUAUGAAAUACUAUAUCUACCCUAUUUCUUAGUUUUCAAUUGCAUACGAUCACGUUUAGCCAUUUCAAUUCGCUCAUCUUUCGUAUUUAACAAAGCCUUAAUCAUUUGUGUGCUCUAUUUUUUUUAUUCUUUAGACCUAAAUUAUAGCAGACGAUUGACCUUUAUGCUGAAUUAUUAGCCUAAUUGAGAUUCCAAUCAACAUUUUACAUUGCAUUCUGUACUAAACUAUCUAUAUUUUGUACACACCAAAGACAAGAUUCAUAAAGCAUAUGCAUAUCUUAUCAAUUCAACGGUUACAUAUUUUAAUAAUUUGACAUUUUUAUAUUAAGAAAUGGUAGCACUCGUGCUUUUAUUGUCAAUAGCUUAUUGAGCAUUUAAUUAUUUUAAUUAGCAUUGAGAGCUAUAUGGCUAUCUAGAAAGUUGACCUAUCCUAAAUUUCUAAAUCUGUAAAAGAAUAUAUUCAAAAGUAUUUUUAAAAACAAAAUAUUAAACAAAAAAAGGGUGGAAAGUUAAUGGGCAUUAUUUAUACAAGCUCUUAUAUCAAACCCACUCAAACUAAUGUGUCAAAUUUAUAUUUUUGUACAAUAAUGAUAUGGGCACAAAAAAUAGUAAAUUAUCACUAAAAGACAAAAAAAAUUAACUACAUGAUAAAAAAUUAUUAUAGAAUAAGAUUUUUUUUAAUCUUUUAUUUCUUUUGUACUAGAUUUUAUUUUAUUUUUGAUACAUCUAUCAUUAUUCUAUCAACAUCACAUGUUUUAUAUUAUUUGUUUAUUCAUUCAAAAAUAUUUUUAAAAAGGUGCUAAUAACGCAUAUAAGAAGAUGUAAAACUUUUAUAAGCGGGCAUUUUUAGGGCCUAAGUCUUAAAAAUAUAAAUAUAGGUUUUUUUUUUAAUAUGAUAUUGUUAUAGGUCAAAAAGCAAUAAAUCAUGAAAAUAUAAUUCAAGCUAUUUAUUUAAUUAUUAAUAUUUUUUCCUUGAUGAAAAGGAGAGAUGGGCUAAAACCUCCGAUGUUAAAUAGCCCAACAACAGACCGAUGUUGCCCAUUAAGAAUUAAUGCCAACUCGCCAUGUAUCACGCACUGACGCACUAGUAUAAAAUCAGUGGACCCGAAACACACCUGCAUGCCAGCCACGUGUCUCUUGAUCGUUGAGCUUAUCCACCUUACAUAUUUGUACCUAUCCAUACACAGACUCACCAGAAAACAUCACACCUAAGAUGGGGACCACCAAAAAUAAAACCUCAUCAUCAAAAAAUCCAACGGCUCACCUUCACUUCCUCAGCAGCACACUGUCACAUAUCCCCCUCUCUGUUUUGUGGAAUGCCCUAAAAAUAAAAGAGCACCAUCAUCAUCUUGCGCUUAUGUUCUCUGCUAAUAGAUAAAACAAGGGGGAAAUAAAGAGAGAGAGAGAGAGAGAAACAAAUACUAAACCGAAAGCCAAAUUAAAGCCUUUGGGGUGCCAACGUGCGUUGCCCCAAAGCCCCAUUAACCAUCGCCACUGACUCUCUCAAAUAAAACGAGAGACAAGAAAUAAGAAAUAUACAAGCAAUACAC
rnacentral:lncRNA from 1 species